UCUUAUCAAGAGAGGUCGAGGGACUGGCCCGAUGAAACCCGGCAACCGGCAGAAAUGCAGUGGUGCCAAAUCCAGCAGGAGUAUAUUUCCUGGAGAUGAGA
rnacentral:ncRNA from 1 species